rnacentral:rRNA from 1 species
UACGUAGGGGGCAAGCGUUGUCCGGAUUUAUUGGGCGUAAAGAGCGUGUAGGCGGCCAAGCAGGUCCGCUGUGAAAACUCGAGGCUCAACCUCGAGACGUCGGUGGAAACCGUUUGGCUAGAGUCCGGAAGAGGAGAGUGGAAUUCCUGGUGUAGCGGUGAAAUGCGCAGAUAUCAGGAAGAACACCAAUGGCGAAAGCAGCUUUCUGGGACGGUACUGACGCUGAGACGCGAAAGCGUGGGGAGCGAACAGG